rnacentral:misc_RNA from 1 species
CAAUCAAACCCAGCGACUUGCUUUAUUGUGAGUGCAGCUGAAAAUUGAGUGUCUCACGAAAGUGUGUCACCUUAAGCGGAGCGAGUCUCCUUUUCUCUAGCGCCUGAUAAGAGUUCAUUCUCUUGUCUAGCCUGAGUCUAAGUUUUGCUUAUGCAAACUAAGCCUGCUAGUGAUGCGGAUAAUCACGCUUAUGUGUGUUCCAACAUGACUUUCAGGGGUAGUGAGUUGAGCAAAGGACUUUAGUGUCAGCUGGAUUCGGUGCGAAAACGCAAGAGAUCUGUGUUAGACGGACUGAGGACCCGUAGCGAUACGCGGAACUCAAUCACUCUUUGAC